AGAAGAGCAUGUCUCCCUUCUUGACGGUGUAAACCGGAGUCCGGUUCGAUACGCCGGUUCCGUUGGAGCAAGAGCAAGGGAUCGGGACGCGUACGACCUGGUUCGGGUUCACGCCCUGAGCGGGUGGGGUGGAGAGUGGGAGGUUGUUGGCUUCGAGGAUUGAACGGAGCUUCUUGACGGCGAAGAGGGUUUGGAUAUUGCCAUAGGUUGUGGCUUGCUUGCUUGAGUAACCGACGAGGGAGCGACACGUGGAGGGUGAGUCACCUGGUUCGCCGCAUUUGAAGUUUCCGGUCAUUUGGGCGGAGAGGGUGAGGAGGAAGGAGAAGGCGAUGAGAAGAAAGGGAAGGGUAAAACGGGAAGUUUUCAUUUUUGUUUGUCUUGUUGUCGCCGGGGAGUUCUCAGGUAAUCUGGAGUUUUUUGUUUGGUCUUAAAGGAAUUAAAAAGAGGAGGAAGAGAGUUGACCGAGAAAAGACUUUUGGAGUUUACGGUUGACUGUUGAGUUUUAGGGAAGACAAAUAAAUGAGAACACAACAUGAAACAGAGUCUGCUGUUCACAUUGUGCUUUGGUCCCUAGUGGAAAAUGUUGUCAGUUAUUUUAUCACGCAGACGUCGCAGAGAGUAGUCGAAGUGAGGACACUCCCACCGUUCUUUUGGUCACGACCGUUAACCCAAAAGUUAUAGCAGGUAAUCAGUUACUCCCUUUUCAUCACCGAACAAAACAAACAAUUAAUCCCUAUCAUCACCGAACCACUAAUAAUACAAACAUUAACGUUUUGCCAUGCUGUUUGUCUUCUGUCUCUACUGUUUACUUAUCAAGUUAUCAAACACGUUUGUGAUCCAAUAUAAUUAAAAUAACCUGGGUCAAUUUUCUCAGGUUUAUGAUCCAUCCUUUAUCAAUUACAAUUUCAUUACAAUGUGAAGGCUUGAUUGUUACAGAAAGCAUUAGGUUGCGUUUGUUUGCUGCUGUGUUACUUUCCGAACUUUCAGACAUUCAUGAUAGUGUCACUAACGUGUGUUUUAAUGUGUUAACCACAAGAACAGGUAAUUUAGCUCUCAGUUCGAUGGCCUCCUCCCGUGUCUUUAUAGACAAAGAUAUUCAGCCCACGAUUGAUUACUUCAGCUGGUUAGUCACUGUAGAGACAACAGUAUUGUGUUUGUCAAUUCCAAUUAGUGUUCUGUUCAGACUCAAUUGAGUGAGCCUUCAAUCUCAUGUUUUGUAAAUUGUCUCAGGUUGGGUUCUAACCCAGAGAUUGCAAAGCGGGUAAAUGCAGAUGAGGUUACUAGGUCUGAGACAAUGACAAUUGGGCAGAUCUAUGCUUACAUCAAGCAGGAAAAUGCCAAGGUAAAAUACAAGCUCAAGAUAACUCUGUGAAAAAAAUAUUCAUGUGAUUCACUUGCCUUUAACCUAUUGCAGGAAGCUUCUUUCGACUGCAUAGCCACAAUUGAUGAUGUUAAGCGUGACAGUGCAUGGUACUAUAUUGGCUGCAGCGGUUGUCAAACAAAGGCCACCAGAGGUCCUUCUUCGUUAAUGUGCGCCAAGUGCGGCAAAACUAAUGUGUCUGGUGUAGAACUCUAAACCCUAAACCCUAAACCCUAAAUCCUAAACCCCACCCUUUAACUCUAAACCCUAAGUUUGUGACUUUUGAUAAAACAUUAAGUGCUAUUUUUGUGACUUUUGACCUUGAGUGCUAGUUUGGGAACGAAAACUUGAUUUAGUGUUAUUUUUGUCUUUUUCUCUAUCAAAUAUAGCAAUCUUAUUUUAUCAUAUCAACUCCAAGAUUAUCCAUCACUUACGUCCAAUUGUUUGAAGCUUGACAAGAACACCUGAUGCAAUUGUUUGCAGUGAUGGAGUAUGAGCUGUUAGGUAGAAGCAUUUUGGCGUCCAACGACUCCUCCCUCAAGGAAGAGUUACAAGCUGUAAUUAAAGUUACAAGUUUUGAGACCCAAUAAUCAGUUUUAGUACUAAAAACUCAAACCCAACUAGAUUUAUCAUAAAAUUUCCAAUUCAUUUAUUACAUCAAACCAUCUCAACUAGAUUUGUCCAAUCAAACUACUAAAUUCAUUGUCUUUUCAAUAAAAUUUUCAUUCAUUGCAUCUAAAGCCAUCAUUAACCUAAAACCCAUUUGAAUUAGUAAAAAAUUCACAGACUUUUCAAAUUCAAAAGUCCUAAGAAAAUUUAAUUCUGUUUGUACCUCUGAGAGGGACGUUAAGAGGGUAGUCAGCGAGGAGCUGAGCAUCGCCGGAGAUCCCAUUGAGCUGAGCCAACGUCCUGUUGUCAGUUCCAAACUGAGAAGCGAUCUCACCGAGGGAGCUUCCGGAUUUCACCACGUGUGCAUAGUGGACAACAUCUUGACCGUUUACUUCAUCGCAGCUACAAGGCAAAGGGAUCCAAAACCUCUGACCGACAUCGAUUUCGCUUGCGUCGGGAAUCUUGUUCAGGUCACUGAUCCUCUGGUAUCGAACCAACCCUCCGAAUAUCUCAGAUGCGAUGAAGAAGAGCAUGUCUCCCUUCUUGACGGUGUAAACCGGAGUCCGGUUCGAUACGCCGGUUCCGUUGGAGCAAGAGCAAGGGAUCGGGACGCGUACGACCUGGUUCGGGUUCACGCCCUGAGCGGGUGGGGUGGAGAGUGGGAGGUUGUUGGCUUCGAGGAUUGAACGGAGCUUCUUGACGGCGAAGAGGGUUUGGAUAUUGCCAUAGGUUGUGGCUUGCUUGCUUGAGUAACCGACGAGGGAGCGACACGUGGAGGGUGAGUCACCUGGUUCGCCGCAUUUGAAGUUUCCGGUCAUUUGGGCGGAGAGGGUGAGGAGGAAGGAGAAGGCGAUGAGAAGAAAGGGAAGGG
rnacentral:lncRNA from 1 species